AUACGGAGGUUGCAAGCGUUAUCCGGAAUCAUUGGGUUUAAAGGGUCCGCAGGCGGAUUAGUAAGUCAGUGGUGAAAUCCUCUCGCUCAACGAGAGAACUGCCAUUGAAACUGUUAGUCUUGAAUUCGGUCGAAGUAGGCGGAAUGUGUCAUGUAGCGGUGAAAUGCAUAGAUAUGACACAGAACACCGAUAGCGAAGGCAGCUUACUAGACCUGGAUUGACGCUCAUGGACGAAAGCGUGGGGAGCGAACAGGAUUAGAUACCCUAGUAGUCC
rnacentral:rRNA from 1 species